AAGACUAUACUUUCAGGGAUCAUUUCUAUAGUUGGUUACUAGAGAAGUUUCUCUGACUGUGUAGAGCACCCGAAACCACGAGGAGGAGACGCAGUGCUCUCCCCUGAGCGUGAAGCCGGCUCUCGGUACUGCCUCCUGCAGCUGCUGUUAGCCAUUGAUGAUCGUUCUUCUCCUCCUCUGGAGGAGCAAGAGGGGGAGAGCGCAGUCUGAGUGGU